GCUUUUUACCAGUACGCAAAAUCAUUUAAUUCAGAUGACUUCGAUUAUGAAGAGCUGAAGAAUGGAGAUUAUGUCUUUAUGCGAUGGAAGAAAUUUCCAAGGAAACUCAAUUUCUUUCAUUGAUGAAAAUGUAUGGAAAGCAUACCGCUGGGCUGAGACACUUAACAUCCUG